CCUGAUCUCCCGGGCUUUGUUCUGCUGCGUAAGCCCCGCCCCAGGAAUGACGGACAAAGUCAUGUCCCAGUAGGAAAGCGCCUUGGUCUGCAAUGGCGCCACUUCCGGUUUGAUCUGCAAAUCUCUCAGGCCCAGGCUUCCGACUCCUUUCAAAAGGGUAACUGCCACCGUCACUAGAGAAGUCCUGCCGCGCAGGCACUGCUUCUUUUUGGGCUGAUUUAGACAGCCUGUCUCCCCAGCUGUCUGCGCUCAAGCCGGAGGCAGAUGUGCUGUUAGCACGAUGAAGCUGAGGCUCAGAGAGAUGAGGAAGCUGAUUGGAUGCAUUUCCCCGAGUCCACUUUCUUAACCAUGGAGCCCCAAACAGCUCAAUGUCAUUGGAGGGUAAGAUCUGAAUGGGCAAAAGGGGCAGGAGGCAUGAGGGUCCCCAGGAUCUCGAAGGCCGCGACAUGUUUGGAUGCAGGACGCUGUGCGUGCACAACCCUAGGGGGCACCAUCACUCCACACAGAUCCACAGGCUUAUUACACCUGUCUUCCAGCAGAUGGCAGUCAAGAGCCACCGCCUCCUAAUCUGCACAAAGACCACGCUCGGCAGUGGCCGCGCUGUCUGGCUUAUAUCCAGAAGGGUCUGAAGCAGGGAAGGGGAUGUUUAGUUGCCUUUUUGGACCAGAGGCGGCUGGGGUGGUCCAGCUGAUGGGGGGGGGCGAGGUCUGAACUAAGAAACAGACGGCCAGAGAGGAGGCGAUGGAUUCGAGCAAGGACGGUUGGAAGGUUCUAGGGCAUGGUGAUGGGUUGCCUUGGACUUGCACGGGGCGAGGGCACCGUGUGGAUCUAAGACGGACGGCCAGAGGGUGGCUGGCUGCGCAGGGAUGAAUCCCAGAGCACGACCCGUCAGCCUGAGAUGCCAGCACUUCUCACUGGGGAUCUUACAAUGGUCCAGACCAUCCCGUGGUCUUGGAGCGAGUCAGGCGAAGACAGGAUGGCCUUCCACCCCACCACUGGGGGACUGAGUCCCCGUCCUCCUCUUAUGCCAAAACGAUCCUUAAAUAUCCUCUCCACGAGGGCCACAAGAGCCCGAUUCCUGACGCAAAGGACUUCGUGUUUCUGGGGACAAAUGGAGUCCUGACGCCCCAGGAGCGCUGCAGCCGGGCAAAAGGAAGGGAGAGCUACAGGGUCCCACGGCCUGGAUGCAGUGGACACAGGGCUGGCACCAAGGACCCACCUCCAGCUUGUGGACCAGCCACGCGGCCCACCCAUGGUCCGGGGGCGCCUUCUCAGCUCCCUCAAGCCGGAGCUGCCGUCCGAGGGGGCCUGGGGCGGGGGAGGGGGGGCGCGUCUGGCCCAGGACCGGUUUGGUUUCUGCUAAGAGGCCCCCACCAACUCUUUGAUUAGCGGCCAAGACAUGCUUCUUUCCAAGUCAAAAAUAAAAUAAAAUAAAGCAUGUUACAAAGUGA